UACAGAGGUCUCAACCGUUGUUCGGAUUCAUUGGGCGUAAAGGGUGCGUAGGCGGUCGCGCAAGUCGGAUGUGAAAUCUCAGGGCUCAACCCUGAAACUGCAUUCGAUACUGCGUGGCUAGAGUGCUGGAGAGGAGACUGGAAUUUACGGUGUAGCAGUGAAAUGCGUAGAUAUCGUAAGGAAGACCAGUGGCGAAGGCGGGUUGCUGGGCUGACACUGACGCUGAUGCGCGAAAGCCAGGGGAGCGAACGGG
rnacentral:rRNA from 1 species